rnacentral:rRNA from 1 species
UACGUAGGGUGCGAGCGUUAAUCGGAAUUACUGGGCGUAAAGCGUGCGCAGGCGGUUCGUUGUGUCGGUGGUGAAAGCCCCGGGCUUAACCUGGGAAUGGCCAUGGAAACUGGCGAACUGGAGUGUGGCAGAGGGGGGUGGAAUUCCGCGGUGUAGCAGUGAAAUGCGUAGAGAUGCGGAGGAACACCGAUGGCGGAAGGGCAGCCCCC